rnacentral:rRNA from 2 species
AUACUGUGAAACUGCGAAUGGCUCAUUAAAUCAGUUAUCGUUUAUUUGAUAGUACCUUACUACUUGGAUAACCGUGGUAAUUCUAGAGCUAAUACAUGCUGAAAACCCCAACUUCGGGAGGGGUGUAUUUAUUAGAUAAAAAACCAACGCCCUUCGGGGCUUCUUGGUGAUUCAUGAUAACUUAACGGAUCGCAUGGCCUUGCGCCGGCGACGGUUCAUUCAAAUUUCUGCCCUAUCAACUUUCGAUGGUAAGGUAUUGGCUUACCAUGGUUUCAACGGGUAACGGGGAAUUAGGGUUCGAUUCCGGAGAGGGAGCCUGAGAAACGGCUACCACAUCCAAGGAAGGCAGCAGGCGCGCAAAUUAUCCAAUCCCGACACGGGGAGAUAGUGACAAUAAAUACUGAUACAGGGCUCUUUUGGGUCUUGUAAUUGGAAUGAGUACAAUUUAAACCUCUUAACGAGGAACAAUUGGAGGGCAAGUCUGGUGCCAGCAGCCGCGGUAAUUCCAGCUCCAAUAGCGUAUAUUAAAGUUGUUGCAGUUAAAAAGCUCGUAGUUGAAACUUGGGUCUGGCUGGCAGGUCCGCCUCACCGCGUGUACUUGUCCGGCCGGGCCUUCCUUCUGGAGAACCUCAUGCCCUUCACUGGGCGUGUUGGGGACCAGAACUUUUACUUUGAAAAAAUUAGAGUGUUCAAAGCAGGCCUUUGCUCGAAUACGUUAGCAUGGAAUAAUAAAAUAGGACGUGCGGUCCUAUUUUGUUGGUUUCUAGGACCGCCGUAAUGAUUAAUAGGGACAGUCGGGGGCAUCAGUAUUCAAUUGUCAGAGGUGAAAUUCUUGGAUUUAUUGAAGACUAACUACUGCGAAAGCAUUUGCCAAGGAUGUUUUCAUUAAUCAGUGAACGAAAGUUAGGGGAUCGAAGACGAUCAGAUACCGUCGUAGUCUUAACCGUAAACUAUGCCGACUAGGGAUCGGGCGAUGUUCUUUUUCUGACUCGCUCGGCACCUUACGAGAAAUCAAAGUUUUUGGGUCUGGGG